rnacentral:lncRNA from 1 species
AACAAAACAAGAAUCUUUUUGGAUUUUUUCAUUUAUAAUUUUCUUUUUCUUUUUCACAUACAAAAUAGGAAAUACGAUAAUAAAAGACUCGACAAACUCAACUAGACUAACAAAAGACUCGACAAACUCAACUAGACUAGGAUAGACUUUGACACCACCUAAAAGAUUCUAUACUAUUGUACAAGACUAGAAAAUAAAAGGCAACAUGAAUGACAAACUCAAAACAUAAAAGUAUCCUCAAGCAACUCAUGAAUGCAGCGGUCCUGACUGGAUGGUCCUGGGGCGUCUGUCAUGCUCAAGCUCCGGCAAAUGUAUCUAUACCUGUAUGAGAAAAAUAAGACCAAAUAGAGUUAAAGACUUAGAACACUAUGUGAUACAAUAACACUUCUUAUUGGACACAUGCAAGACAUAAUUAAGGCAAUUUUUGCAAAAUGACCUAUGUGGCCAAAAGGUGGCUAGAAGUGAAAACUCAAUUAGGACGACCUCUAAAAUAUGGAAGCACAUCACGAAGGCCCAUAACCUCUCAGGAAUCGCGGUCCCUAAAGUUGCUUUGUAAAAUGACCUCACUUUGCAGAAAUGGCCUAUGUGACCGAAAAAUGGCUAAGCAUGAAAAUUCAAUAGGAAUGGACCUUAAACAGAGAGGACACCUUGUGGUAGACUUAACACUCUAAGAUAUGGGUUAACAACCCACUUUUUGCAAAAAUAUCCCUAUUUUGCAAAAAGGCCGAUGUGGCCAAACAUGGCUAGACAUGCAAGAUUUGGCUAAGACCCCGCGAAGCCAAGAACCUAAGACUCACUAGGAAGACCGGAUCCUAUGUGGGCUGCCUACGUAUCCCGCCCUGAAAGACGAGAAUAAGGUAUGCGUAGUUCGGGAAGAUUGGAUAUGGGAGAGAAUUAAAAAAUGAUUCGGAGAAAACAUAUUUUUUGUCUUUUUUUUGAAAAAUGAUGAAACAUGUAAAAUCUUUUUGGAUUUUCUUUUUCUCUUUUUUUUGAUUUUUUGUUUUUGGUAAAUGAUGGGAAAGUGCAAAAUCUUUUUGAAUUUUUCAUUUUUAUUUUUUUGAUCUUUUUCUUGAAAACGUUGUGAAAGGAAAAACAUAAUUGGGCCCUACGUGCUUCAUUUUUACACUUCACCCUCUUUUCUUUCUCAUUUACCCUAAAACCGUCAUUGGUCCGCCAAAUGACCCUUUUACCCUUAAAAAAUACAGCAUGUAGCACAUGUGGAUGAUUAAAUAUCUUUUUGGGUCAUGGGCCCGUUUUGACAUAAUUUGGAUAGGCCUCCUAUAAAGAGACACGGUGCCUGGGACCGAGCCAUGCUAAGUGUAAAUGACAUGAUACAAAUAAGCAUGACCUAAAGGCUGACCUAAGUUUGGGGGUUCACAAGACAAGGCAAUUCGGGGCGGCAUGUGGUCGAUGGUGGCUGCUCUAGCUAUCCGCCCACUCCACGCUUCCACGCCACCCCCUAAGACAUGGAUGACUCACAAAAAGGCCGUGUACGCUCAAACGUACUCCGGAAGACUUGUUGCAGAAAGAAGACCCAUGGUUAUGCAAAUGAUGACUGUUAUAAAGCGGUAAACACAUAAGGAAACACGAUAAGCAAAUAACCAACAAAACAGGAAAUAAGAUUAAAAAAACUAAAUAAACAAAGCAAAUAAAGAAAACAAACACCUCAACUGAAUAUCCUAAAAGCCAACAAGAUUAAGAAUCAGCUUGAACCUGCAACUCCCUAGCAGAGUCGCCAAAGCUGUCACAUCAUUUUUUUUACCUCACUAACCCUCUUUAAAAAGAAUAAAAGGUGAUGUUUGAAGCUCAAAAGGGUUUUGCAAUUAGAAAGUGACAAAAAUUGUGUUUUAAAAGGUUAUUGAGAGUCGCCACCUGUCAUUUGGUUUCGGUGUGGCAGGUCACCGUUUUUAAAAUAAUAUUUUUUCUUCAAAACACAUUUGACUCUAAAACUGACUGCACUAGAAAUUUCAGGUAAGGGGGUUCAUUUGACUCGGGGAGAAGGUGUUAGGCAUUUCCCGAGUCCCGUAGCUAGUACGGUUGCAUACAUGAUCAAAUUGGCUUUAAAGGAUAUUCGAAUUAAGGCAAAAAAAAAAUACAAAAGAAAAAUAAACACACAAGAGGCUCGAGGUUGUCCCCGCCUAAAUAAAAGAAAGUAAAAUAAGAGGAAAAUACUAAAGUCUAUGAUAUGCUCACUCCACGAUAUCCGUCACGGCCUCCAGAUACAUUCACUUCGGGGCAUUCCCCUUAUAAAAAUAUUUAUAAAGUCUAUGGGGCAUUCCCCUUAAUUUAAACUAAAGGGAACGACCUCUCACCUUGAAUAAAAGAAAAGAAAAGACCUAAAGUUUGCCUACCCGAGUGUUGACGGUCUAAAAAUGCUACUAGCGAAUUAAUUAAAUAAAGUAAUAAAACGAUUAAGGCUAGUUGUUGUGCCAGAUUCAUGGUUAAAGUCCAACUCUAACUUUUAAUGUCAUUUCCAGAUGAUCCAAUUGACUCAAACAAUAAGGUUUAACCACCGACCAUACUAAUCAAUUCAAAAUGAUCCAAACAAAAUAAUUUCGUAUCCUAAAUACAAAACCACUGAAUUCAAACAUCAACUUCACUUAGUCUUAAAGUUACAUUCAAGCUCUAAAUCAACUAAUUAAAAAUACGAAUGAAAUAAAAUCUAAAGAAAAUUCCAAACCCAUGUGAAAUUCAUAUCAACAGAGUGCAUUCAGGGAAGAUAACACAAAUUCAUUCACACAAUAACAAACAAUAACAGAUUUAAGGCAUAAGAGUUAGAAAUGGACCUUUACUGGAUCUAUUAGUCAAAGAGAUAAGAGAGAACCUCAGGAGUCAAAAGCUCUUUGAAUCUGAAAAUGUUUUAACACCGAAAACCUUGGAUGGCGACAACCUCGAUGGGACCUCGUCGGAGAAACUCAAAUUCGAUGACGAACUCGAACUCUACUCGACCCAGAGGACACCGAAGCUCAAAGAGCAGACCAGAACUAUGCGUUCGGAUAUUUUUGAGUUGUGCAGUAUAAUUUUUAAACUUGCUGCUCUGUUUUUGUUGUGAUGAAGUGGAACAAAAUAUAGUUACAGUACUUAGGUGAUUCACGGGGGAGAGAGGGUUAAGAAUCGAUGGUUAUGGGUGAAACAGUGGUGGGUGUUAGUGAAUUCACAUGGUAUUAAACUAAGGAAAAUGAAGAAUGAUGUAGUCUCAUGGAGAAAACGAUUGGUAAGGAUUGGGCGAGCUACAACCCUAGGGAUUUCUCCACAGUUUUCUUUCUUUUUUUUCCUCUGUCCGUGUUCUCUCGAUGGCUGCUUUAGAAUGGAGGAGUUAGGUUAGGG